rfam:Myotis brandtii contig249750, whole genome shotgun sequence.
GGUGGUUCUCAGGUGACCCACCCCAGAAUCAGGCUCUCUCCUGUCUGGUUCCAGUGCGUCACUCGAGAACCACA